rnacentral:rRNA from 1 species
GACGAACGCUGGUGGCGUGCUUAACACAUGCAAGUCGAACGGGAUUUAGUAAACAGAAGCCUCGGUGGAAGAUUACUAAUGAGAGUGGCGAACGGGUGAGUAACGCGUGAGCAACUUGCCUAUGACAGUGGGAUAGCCUCGGGAAACCGGGAUUAAUACCGCAUAAAAUCGUAGAAACACAUGUUUUAACGGUCAAAGAUUUAUCGGUCAUAGAUGGGCUCGCGUCUGAUUAGCUAGUUGGUGAGAUAACAGCCCACCAAGGCGACGAUCAGUAGCCGGUCUGAGAGGAUGAACGGCCACAUUGGAACUGAGACACGGUCCAAACUCCUACGGGAGGCAGCAGUGGGGAAUAUUGCACAAUGGGGGAAACCCUGAUGCAGCGACGCCGCGUGAACGAAGAAGGUAUUCGUAUCGUAAAGUUCUGUCCUAUGGGAAGAUAAUGACAGUACCAUAGAAGAAAGCUCCGGCUAAAUACGUG